AUGGUUGAAAAAAGGUAGUUAGAUUUGAAUCAAGAAAAAUAUGAUUUAACUCAAAUGAGAAAAAAUGAGAUUAAAUGAAAGAAAUACCUAAUUAUUGAAAAAUAUGUCAAUUGAUUCAAAUAAGAGAAAACGUGAUUCAAAUCACAAGCCUUCUGAUUUGAAUCAAGAACAAAAUGUGAUUCAAAUCAAAUGGCCUUGAAUCGGUAGGAGUCUUA
rnacentral:lncRNA from 1 species